rnacentral:tRNA from 10 species
AGUGCCCCUGUGUUGAGGCUGCAGAGGCCCUAAUUGGUUUUCCCAAGACAGAGGGGCAUAUGAGAUUGAACAAAUAUUUGUUGAAUGAAUGAACAAAGGGAACGCCUUUUAGGGAUGUUUCUGGGGGAAAGGCCUGAGGUUCUCCAGGAGGGUCUGCAGCUAGGGUCGGCCGUGGGGGCUCGCAGCCCGCGGGACCACCGGACCUGCAAGCGUCCCCCUGCCCCGCCCCCGCCUCGGCGCUCUGAGCAAUUGGACUCUGCCAGCUCUAACUCCGGCGGGACUCUGAAACUCAGGUGUUCUGGACUUGGAAGAUUUGUUGAAUUACUAUGAAGUCACAUCUAAAGUUUGAAAGAGAUCGGGUCUCACUAUUUUGCCCACGCUGGUCUUGAACUCCUGUCCUCAAGCAGGAUAUCCUCCUGCCUUGGCCUCCCAAAGUUCUGGGAUUACAGUCUCGCUCUGUCGCCAGGCUGGAGUGCACGCUGGAGCGCGAUCUUGUCUUACUACAACCUCUGCCUCCCAGAUUCAAGCGAUUUUCCUGCCUCAGCCUCCCGAGUAGCUGGGACUACAGGGACGCACCACCAUGCCCAGCUAAUUUUUGUAUUUUUAGUAGAGAUGUGGUUUCACCAUGUUGGCCAGGAUGGUCUUGAUCUCUUGACCUCGUGAUCCACCCGCCUCGGCUUCCCAAAGUGCUGGGAUUAUAGGCAUAAGCCACCACGCCUGGCCUGAAAUUAUUUUUCUAUACAGUUCUUAGAGGAAGUGUUUGGGUCACCUACAUAGGCAUGUAGUUCUUGACACUGGUUACUAGAGGAUUUAUAGAGGAUGUUCAUAUAUUCAACAAGCAUUUGUUGAAUACCUAUUAGGUGCUAGCCAUGGAAAUAUGGGAUUGAAAAAAACAGACAAAAAUCCCUAAUCUCUCUUACAAUCUAGUGAGGACAAUCAGACAGUACACAAAAUAAGCAUAAUAUAUAGUAAUCAUGUGGUAGUAAGUUCUAUAGAGCAAAAACAAGUUUAAAGAAGGAGGUUGGGGGGAGUGUUGAGAUGCAUAAGGUUUGCAGUUAUAAAUGUGGUGGUUAGGGAAUCAUUUGCUGAAAAAUGAACAUUGAGCAAAAACCUGAAGGAUGUUAAAGGAAUAAGAUACAUGUAAUCCAGAUGAAAGUUUUUUGGAUAAAGGAAAGAGCAAUUGCUAAAUCCCUGAGGUGGGAGUGGGCUGUUCAUAAGACAGCAAAGCAGCCAGGGUAGCUGAGUGAUUGACAGCGGAAGAUGGAAAAUGGGGAAUAGUUGGUGUAGGACCUAGUUGUGAGGAUAUUGACUUUGUUUUUUUUCCAAGACAGAGCUGUGCUCUGUCGCCCAGGCUAGAGUGCAGUGGCAUGAUCUUGGCUCACUGCAAUCUCCGCCUCCCGGGUUCAAGCAAUGCUCCUGCCUUAGCCUCCCCAGUAGCUGGGAUUACAGGCACCUGCCACCAUGUCCAAUUAAUUUUUGUAUUUUUAGUAGAGAUGGGGUUUCGCCAUGUUAGCCAGGCUGGUCUUGGACUCCUGACCUCAAGUGAUCUGCCCGCCUCAGCCUCCCAAAGUGCUGGGAUUACAGGCGUGAGCCACCAUGCCCACCCUAGGAUAUUUACUUUUAUUUUGAAUAAGGAUGCCACUGGAGGCCAGACGUGGUGGCUAACGCCUAUAAUCCCAGCACUUUGGGAGGACGAGGCGGGUGGAUCACGAGGUUAGGAGAUUGAGACCAUCCUGGCCAACAUGGUGGAACCCCGUCUCUACUAAAAAAAAAAAAAAAAUUAGCCAGGUGUGGUUGCAUGCGCCUGUAGUCCCAGCAACUCAGGAGGCUGAGGAAGGAGAAUCACUUGAACCCGGGAGGUGGAGGUUGCAGUGAGCCGAGAUCGCCCCACUGUACUCCAGCCUGGGUGACAGAGCAAGACUCUGUCUCAAAAAAAAAAAAAAAAAAAAAUGCCACUGGAGAGCUUUGAGGAGAGGAUCAGUCUGGCUACUGGGUUGGGAAUUAAUCAUAGCAGGCAAAGGCAAAAGAAGUGAGGUUAGUUAGGAGGCUUUACAACAACCCAGAUGAGAGAUGGGAGGUUUUAGCCAGGGAGAUGGAGAUGUUGAGAGAGUAGCUGGACUCAGGAUUGUGACAGUGGACUGAAGGAAAAGCAGGUUUUGGGGGAAGAUUGCAUUUCUCCCUUCAACUUCAGUUACGUAGAUCACCCAUAUGCCACACAACUGCAACUCUGUAACAGCCAAUUUUUAGCUUCUUCCUUAUCUAAGCCAUCCUGUAGGCCAUAGGAAUUAAAACUAGGUUGGAUCAAGGAAAAGUGAAUGCUAGAUCCAUACAAAACUAUUUGGAUAUUUGCCUUUGUAUUUUAUUGUUUUGAAAUUAUUUUUAAUGGUUCAAUAAACUCUUACUAGAACUACAAGCAAUAUAAUUAUUUCCUCUGCUUUAUUAGAAAUGUUUUUGUAAUCAUGUUAAUUAUAUUACUUUUAACUAUAUAAGGCUUGUGUCUCUUUUUUAUAAAUUGAUGUUUAUAUCCUCUGUAAGAUAAAUAUAAAGGCUUUUUGUUCAUAUGAGGAUGUGCUGUAAGAUUGCAGGGAGUAUAAAAAUUGGCAAUGGAGUAGGUGACUUGUAUUAUUAGUCUGAUCUUAAUGUUGUAACAUACUGAUCAUGCAAAAUAUAUAAUUAGUUUGUUUUUGCUAUUUAAUAUGUGUAGGACUGUAACAAACAGACUAGAGAAGAUGGCCAUAAGUUACAAGAAAGCAAGUAAAUUACUAUCUAAUUAAAAGUAUUUGAUUCUAAUACUAGCAGAGUUCUGUCUAGAAAAUAAAUUAACUUUCUGUAUGCUUUUUUUGGUCUCAAUUUUCCAAUAAUUUCCCUCAACUCUGAUAUGUGUCUGUUGAAUAAUAUUUCUGAUGUUAAGAAUUAAAGGGGGUGUAGAUCAGUGGUAGGGCGCACGCUUAGCAUGCAUGAGGCCCUGGGUCAAUCCCCAGCACCUCCACAAAGGUUUUCUGGCUGGACACGGUGGCUCACACCUGUAAUCUCAGCAUUUUGGGAAGCUGAGUUGGACAGAUCACUAGAGGUCAGGAGUUCGAGACCAGCGUGGCCAACAUGGUGAAACCCUAUUUCUACUAAAAAUACAAAAAAAUUAGCCGGUCACGGUGGCACACACCUGUAAUCUCAGCUACUUGGGAGGCUGAGGCAUGACAAUCGCUUGAACCUGGAAGGCGG